ensembl:lncRNA
UGGGACUCUCUAAAUCGACGCCACUUCGACCUGGGCGGGACUUACCGGGACUUUACGUCCUACGUCACUCGCUAUGGGUCACUCGCUGGGAGUGCAUGUGUGCGCGUAGCCGUUUGUCUCCGGGAUCUGUGCACGAACGGUUGUGUCGAACGCGAUGGGGGAUCCACCCUGGGUAACGUCGUAUUUUAAAAUGAUAAAUACAAGCAAUGGAUACAUUUCUGGAUUUGUCCAGACUCAAAAAGAAUUGGAGAGUCUGCUGGAGGUCCACUCAAGGGCCACACUGACAUCGUUUGUCAAAUGGUCUGAACACAUAAAAGAUGGCACCAAAGAGAGGCAUCUAUGGCAGGUGGAGGAUUUCAAUGAAGACACCCCUCUAUGUGUAAAGAAAAGAAUGGUCCUUGCUUGUCAGCAUGGCAAAGCUCGACAGAAAAAAGAAAAGGAGAAACGUUCAGCAGAGCAUGUAUACACAAAAAAACGUUUUCAUGUCCAAAAUGGGAAGAAGUUGGACUGCCCAGCUAAACUUUUCAUUCGGCAUGUGCUGAGAUAUGACUCAUUCAGUGUGAGAGGGGAUGCCACAAAAUCCCAUAAAGAAGACACUAUGAGAAAUCUUAAGAUAGCACUUCAAAACUCAGAAAACCCACCAACCUCUACAUUCAUUCAUCUAAAAAUUCCUCUAUUGGAAGUUCACAAUCAUACAAUUGGAGCAGGAUCCUGUUUUUCAAGACCGAUCCAUCCAAAAAUAAAAAAAUCAAAUUCAGGUGAUGGUCGGACAAGGGAUAACUAAUAUAGCUUUCGUGAAGAGAGCCUUGAAGCAGUAUGUGCUAAAUGACUUGUGUGGAGAGGA